rnacentral:rRNA from 1 species
UACGGAAGGCAGCAGUGGGGAAGUAUUGCACAAUGGGCGCAAGCCUGAUGCAGCCAUGCCGCGUGUAUGAAGAAGGCCUUCGGGUUGUAAAGUACUUUCAGUCGUGAGGAAGGUGUUAAGGUUAAUAACCUUAGCAAUUGACGUUAGCGACAGAAGAAGCACCGGCUAACUCCGUGCCAGCAGCCGCGGUAACACGGAGGGUGCGAGCGUUAAUCGGAAUUACUGGGCGUAAAGGGCACGCAGGCGGUUAAUUAAGUUGGAUGUGAAAUCCCCGGGCUUAACCUGGGAAUGGCAUUCAAGACUGGUUAGCUAGAGUCUUGUAGAGGGGGUAGAAUUCCAUGUGUAGCGGUGAAAUGCGUAGAGAUGUGGAGGAAUACCGGUGGGCGAAGGCGGCCCCCUGGGACAAAGACUGACGCUCAUGUGCGAAAGCGUGGGGAGCAAACAGGGAUUAGAUACC